rnacentral:rRNA from 1 species
UACGUAGGGCGCGAGCGUUGUCCGGAAUUAUUGGGCGUAAAGAGCUCGUAGGCGGUUUGUCGCGUCGGUUGUGAAAACCCAAGGCUCAACCUUGGGCCUGCAAUCGAUACGGGCAGACUAGAGGUACUGCAGGGGAGACUGGAAUUCCUGGUGUAGCGGUGGAAUGCGCAGAGUAUCAGGAGGAACACCGGUGGCGAAGGCGGGUCUCUGGACAGUUCCGUGACACUGAGGCACGAAGGCCAGGGGAGCAAACGGG